CAGUUUUCGGCUACUGCUUCAAUAUACUCAAACAUUUUCUGAUUUCACUCAUACUGUAUGUUUAGUGGACUUCUUUUUUAAGCAAAAUUUGAAUGUUUUCUUCUCUCCUGUUCUUAAGGCCUCAUGUUCAGCUUAUUAGUGCUGGUGUGCAGCUGCCUGCUGCAGAGCGAACUUGUGGCCACAGAGGGGCACCGUGGGCCCAACCGCCAUGUCUUCUAUGCAGUUCACAUGGAUGGAGGCAGCAAAGCCGCCAGAGCUUUGGCUGAGCAGCACAAGCUGGAGUUCAUACAGCGGGUUGGCAGCCUCAAAGGUCUUUACACCCUGAAAGACAGCAGGGGGCGCUCAAACAGAACCUGCUUUGAGGAUGGACUUGCUUCUGCAGUGGGGGUUCACUGGGUUCAGAGGCAGUACUGUCAUUACAGAGAAAAGAGGGAUCUUCUGAGGGGACUGAAGCUCAGGACUGCACACAGUAAGUUUACAUCAGAUUCUCCAAACGUCACUGAAUUUAAGUAGGAAUUUCAUACCAAUGCAUCACUG
rnacentral:lncRNA from 1 species